rnacentral:rRNA from 1 species
AGAGUUUGAUCMUGGCUCAGAUUGAACGCUGGCGGCGUGCUUAACACAUGCAAGUCGAACGAGAAAGGGACUUCGGUCCUGAGUAGAGUGGCGCACGGGUGAGUAACGCGUAGGUAAUCUACCUCUGCAUCUGGGAUAACACUUCGAAAGGGGUGCUAAUACCGGAUACACUUAUCAAUCGCAAGGUUGAUAAGGAAAGGAGACCUCUCCUUGGAAGUUUCUGUGUAGAGAUGAGCCUGCGUCCCAUUAGCUAGUUGGCAGGGUAAAGGCCUACCAAGGCGACGAUGGGUAGCGGGUCUGAGAGGAUGAUCCGCCACACUGGAACUGAAACACGGACCAGACUCCUACGGGAGGCAGCAGUGAGGAAUAUUGGACAAUGGGCGCAAGCCUGAUCCAGCGACGCCGCGUGAGUGAUGAAGGCCUUUGGGUCGUAAAGCUCUGUCAGCAGGGAAGAACGGCCGUGCGGUUAAUACCCGUGCGGAUUGACGGUACCUGCAGAGGAAGCACCGGCUAACUCCGUGCCAGCMGCCGCGGUAAUACGUGUCUCG